rnacentral:snoRNA from 1 species
AAGCCUGUGAGGAUUUACAUUUACAUUGGAAUUACCGUCUGAUAUUUCUUUGAUGUUAAAAUAUGGCUGUUAUCUGAGGCUCUGA